rnacentral:rRNA from 1 species
UACAGAGGUCUCAAGCGUUGUUCGGAUUCAUUGGGCGUAAAGGGUGCGUAGGCGGCGCGGUAAGUCGGGGUGUGAAAUCUUGGAGCUUAACUCCGAAACUGCAUUCGAUACUGCCGUGCUUGAGGACUGGAGAGGAGACUGGAAUUUACGGUGUAGCGGUGAAAUGCGUAGAUAUCGUAAGGAAGACCAGUGGCGAAGGCGGGUCUCUGGACGGAUACUGACGGCGAGGCGCGAAAGCGUGGGGAUCAAACAGG